rnacentral:rRNA from 1 species
UGGGGAAUAUUGCACAAUGGGGGAAACCCGUGAUGCAGCGACGCCGCGUGAACGAAGAAGUAUUUCGGUAUGUAAAGUUCUAUCAGCAGGGAAGAUAAUGACGGUACCUGACUAAGAAGCACCGGCUAAAUACGUGCCAGCAGCCGCGGUAAUACGUAUGGUGCAAGCGUUAUCCGGAUUUACUGGGUGUAAAGGGAGCGUAGGUGGUCUGGCAAGUCAGAAGUGAAAACGCAGGGCUUAACCCUGCGACUGCUUUUGAAACUGUCAGACUAGAGUGCAGGAGAGGCAAGCGGAAUUCCUAGUGUAGCGGUGAAAUGCGUAGAUAUUAGGAGGAACACCAGUGGCGAAGGCGGCUUGCUGGACUGUUACUGACACUGAGGCACGAAAGCGUGGGGAGCAAACAGGAUUAGAUACCCUGGUAGU